rnacentral:misc_RNA from 1 species
AGCAGAGCUGUCAACAACGGCGGCCCCAGCUGGUAUUGUAGAAAGUGAUGUCUCGGCUAAAUCAGAUCUAGAGAAGGCAAUGGACUGACCAACAGUUGGAGGAGCUUUCACAGACAUGUUUUUUCUCUCAUCCUCUCCAACAGAUGAGUGUGUGGUUUUUCCUUCUUCGGCUACACGAUAAUUCUUUUUCUGCUGAGCAACCUGUGCGGCAGCAGCAGCAGCCAUAAUCUGAUGAUACCCUUGCCUGGUGAUCUCAGGAAGACUUUGGAAAAUAGGAUGAU